GAGUGAACGCUGGCGGUAGGCCUAACACAUGCAAGUCGAACGGCAGCACAGUAAGAGCUUGCUCUUACGGGUGGCGAGUGGCGGACGGGUGAGGAAUACAUCGGAAUCUACUUUUUCGUGGGGGAUAACGUAGGGAAACUUACGCUAAUACCGCAUACGACCUACGGGUGAAAGCAGGGGAUCUUCGGACCUUGCGCGAUUGAAUGAGCCGAUGUCGGAUUAGCUAGUUGGCGGGGUAAAGGCCCACCAAGGCGACGAUCCGUAGCUGGUCUGAGAGGAUGAUCAGCCACAAUGGAACUGAGACACGGUCCAGACUCCUACGGGAGGCAGCAGUGGGGAAUAUUGGACGAUGGGCGCAAGCCUGAUCCAGCCAUACCGCGUGGGUGAAGAAGGCCUUCGGGUUGUAAAGCCCUUUUGUUGGGAAAGAAAAGCAGCAGGUUAAUACCCCGCUGUUCUGACGGUACCCAAAGAAUAAGCACCGGCUAACUUCG
rnacentral:rRNA from 1 species